AAUGGGACUGGCGUUUUUAUUUUUAAAUGUUAGUUUAAUUUCAUAAAAUAGUUCUUUUAGAGUUUUAUACAGUAAUCUUCCUCCUUUCCCCAGACUCUUGCCAGAUACCUGCCUCCUUCCUUACACCAAAGUCCAAUUCAAAAUAUCCAUAUAUCCAUAUAUUGUUGGGUGUGUAGUCUUCUGCUGAAGUUUGGUUGACUUCCCUGAUACUUCAGAAAGAUAAGAAAAUGAACUCUACUCUCUUGCUUCUGGAUCUUUUGUUCCCCUCUGUCUCCCCAUUCCUUUCCUCCAACUCUCCACAUGUUAAUGGCUGGCCUCUCCUUAUCUACUCUUUCUCUCUGCCUUUCUCUGACUCUAGGACCCUCUUAACUCCCCUCCCCAUGCCUGAAUGAACUCUAUUCUAUACAAAAAAGAAAAAAGAAAGAAUAAGAAAGAAACAGAAGGGAAAAAAGGAAAGGAAAGGAAAGGAAAGGAAAGGAAAGGAAAGGAAAGGAAAGGAAAGGAAAGGAAAGGAAAGGAAAGGAAAGGAAAGGAAAAAAGAAAAUGGACUCUUCCUUUGCCUGGAGCUAUCAGUUGCCAAUAGCUCCUUGACUGAAAAUGGGACUUAAUGCCUACCUCACCUCUUCAUGCUGGGGUUGGGUCUGCCUUGAGCUUGCAAAGAUCUUCUGUAUGCUAUCACAUCUCUGUGUGGUUAUUGUAUAGCUGACCUUCUGCAUCCCAAAGACAUCUUGUCAUCUACUUUCUUUACUCCCGUAACCUUUCUAUUCACUCUAGUACAACAAUCCGUAAGACUUGGAAGGAAGGUAUGUGAUAUGGAUAUCCUGUUUAGGGCUGAGAAUUAUGCAGUCUGUCUCUGCAGCUUUACUGUCUGCUGCAAGGUUCUCUGAUGAGGCCAGCUUUAAAAGGUCUUGACAUGUAAAUUCAGUGAUAAAAUAUUGUCUGGGAUAUGCAAGUCCCUCGGUUUGAACCCCAGAAACAUACACACACACACACACACACACACAAACACAUACAGAGACACAAAUUUCAAUUAUUAAUAAAAGACAAUAUAUCUUUCAAAUGGGUAUGGUCACAUAUGGCUAUUAUCAAAUACUCUGGUGGCAUAGCCAGGAGGAUCCAGAGUUCUAGGCCAACGUAGGCUAUGUAGUGAGGUUUGAGUCAGCCACAGCAAAGCAAUGGGACUGACAUUUUUAUUUUUAAAUGUUAGUUUAAUUUCAUAAAAUAGUUCUUUUAGAGUUUUAUACAGUAGUCUUCCCUCCUUUUCCCAAACUCUUGCCAAUACUUGACUCCUUCCCUACACCAAAGUCCAAUUCAUACUAUCCAUCUAUCCCUAUAUUCUUGGGUGUGUAAUCAUCCUCCCUCCCUCCCCCGACUCUUCCCAGAUAAUCUGCCUCCUUCCCUAGAACAAAGUCUACUUCAUACUAUUUAUAUAUCCUAUAUUCUUGGGUGUGUACUCUUCUGAUGAAGUGUCGUUCAAUUCCCGGAAACUUCAGAAAAGUAAGAUAAUGAAAUCUAGUCUUUUGCUUCUUGCUGUUUUAUUUUGUCUCUCUCCCCAUUUUCUUCCUCCAACUUUCCACAUGAUCAUGGCUGGCCUCUACUUAUCUAUUCUUUCUUUCUGCCUUCCUCUGACUCUAGGACCCUCUUACCUCCCCUCCCCAUGCCCUGAAUAAACUCUAAUCUAUAAAAAAAAUAAGAAAAUAAAAAAAGUAAAGGAAAGAAAGGAAAGGAAAAG
rnacentral:lncRNA from 1 species